UACAGAGGGGGCGAGCGUUAAUCGGAUUUAUUGGGCGUAAAGCGCGCGUAGGCGGCUUUGCAAGUCGGGCGUGAAAUCCCCAGGCUUAACCUGGGAACUGCAUUCGAGACUGCAUUGCUAGAGUAUGGGAGAGGGAAGUGGAAUUUCCGGUGUAGCGGUGAAAUGCGUAGAUAUCGGAAGGAACAUCAGUGGCGAAAGCGACUUCCUGGACCAAUACUGACGCUCAGGUGCGAAAGCGUGGGGAGCAAACAGG
rnacentral:rRNA from 1 species